GAGGGUAUAGCUCAAGUGGUAGAGCACAUGCUUAGCAUGCACAAGGUCCUGGGUUCAAUCCCCAGUACCUCCU
rfam:Camelus ferus unplaced genomic scaffold scaffold439, whole genome shotgun sequence.